UACGUAGGGGGCAAGCGUUGUCCGGAUUUAUUGGGCGUAAAGAGCGUGUAGGCGGCUAGAUAGGUCCGUUGUGAAAACUCGAGGCUCAACCUCGAGACGCCGGUGGAAACCAUCUAGCUAGAGUCCGGAAGAGGAGAGUGGAAUUCCUGGUGUAGCGGUGAAAUGCGUAGAUAUCAAGCGGAACACCAGUGGCGAAGGCGAGUCCCUGGACAACUCCUGACACUGAGGCACGAAAGCUAGGGGAGCAAACAGG
rnacentral:rRNA from 1 species